AAUGAACGCUGGCGGCAUGCCUAACACAUGCAAGUCGAACGAAGGCUUCGGCCUUAGUGGCGCACGGGUGCGUAACGCGUGGGAAUCUGCCCUUGGGUUCGGAAUAACAGUUAGAAAUGACUGCUAAUACCGGAUGAUGUCGUAAGACCAAAGAUUUAUCGCCCAAGGAUGAGCCCGCGUAGGAUUAGCUAGUUGGUGGGGUAAAGGCCCACCAAGGCGACGAUACUUAGCUGGUCUGAGAGGAUGAUCAGCCACACUGGGACUGAGACACGGCCCAGACUCCUACGGGAGGCGGCAGUGGGGAAUAUUGGACAAUGGGCGCAAGCCUGAUCCAGCCAUGCCGCGUGAGUGAUGAAGGCCUUAGGGUUGUAAAGCUCUUUCACCGGAGAAGAUAAUGACGGUAUCCGGAGAAGAAGCCCCGGCUAACUUCGUGCCAGCCGCCGCCGUAAAAC
rnacentral:rRNA from 1 species